rnacentral:lncRNA from 1 species
CAGUGGCAAACUCGUAAAUUCAGAAAACGUAUUUUAAUUCAAACCGGCGCAGAAAACGCUUUUAAAACUGAGAAAGCGUAUUAUCGAAAGGGCGCAUUAGGACCGCGGGUUUAUUCCUAAAAACAGCAGGGGCUCUUUAGCAAAAACGCGAAUGAAGGGGUAUGAUUGAUUCUGGACCUUUGGAUUGGGUUUGUGUGGCUUAGAUUAGAAACAGGAGGGGGAGAGAGGAAGCUGCUGCACAGAACAGGAGGUUGCGCCGCCGAACUCCAUGAACGGCGACGAAGAGCUCACCGGAGCUUCGCCGAACAGCGUUUUUGGCCUCGGUUUAACUCGGUAAAGGCAUGGAAUGAAAGAGGGGAUGGAAGCGGACUCACCAAGGGGUUCUAUGCGGACGAUGAAGCCUCGGCGGUGUCGUGGGAUUCAGGAGGCUAGCUCCGGCUUCCUGCGUACAUUCGGUAGCAGCAUGUGAACACGAGAGAGAGAGAGAGAGAGAUAGCAAGAGAGACGGAGAGCGCUGGGAGCUUCGUCACCUCGACGUAGUGCUCGACAAUGGGUCUGCAAUGGUGGCAAAGAGGCCGAGGGUGCUCAGAACGACGGCGACCUCCUCUGUUUUUUUUUUGGCGAGAUCCAAACGGGACCGGGCAAAGGAGAGACGAUUCGAGGCAGACCUAGUUGGAAACUAAAUCACGGAGGAGCGCCCAAGCUUCUUAUAGGGACGCCCUACGCUCGUUCGGAGCAACGAAUCCCGUGAACCCUGGGAUUUUGGUUCCCUUCGGUAGUGUCCAGUUCAGCAACGGGAAGAAGAAAGGAAGGAAAGAGAGGACACCGACGAGCGGGCCCAGGGUGCCAGUGACUGGUGGUGGGGAGCUGCGCGCGACUUGGGCCAAGGGAGAAGGAAAUCGGGCUUCGGCCCAAAGGAGAAAGAGGGAGGGCGCGGCGCUGGCUGGGCCUUUCAGGCCGAAAUCUGAGAGAGGGGGAGGUGUUGCUUCUUUUUUUUGUUUUUUUUCUUUUAUUCCAAAAGACAUUUCAAGUUCUUUUUUAAAAUCACUUUGAAAUACUUUUGAACUUUAGUAAAAGUCACAUAGUACAAAAAUAUAAAUGCUCCAGCAUGAGUGCACAUACAUGUUACUAAAUCCUAUAAUGAAUUUUAAGCUAAUGAAAAUAUUAUUUUUCGUAUAUUUUCAUGAGCACAAACAUACCCAAUUAAAUCAUUUUAACUCUAUUUCAAAAGAUGCAAAUUUUAGGGUGUUACAUCUAUGCUGGCGGUGGCAAAACUAUUCCACGGGCGGUUUUAGUUGUCAUGCGCCUGUGUUGUAAAAUUGUAUGGCUAGAAUGAAAGACCGCCUAUGUAAAUGGGUCAGUACAGGCGGUUAUUGUAACAAAACCGCAUGUGUUAAUGCUCCAUUUACAUAGGUGGUUCAACAACUGAACUGCCUAUGUUAAUCGAUUUACACAGGCGGUUUCUUAAGCAAACCGCCUGUGCUAUUCUUUCUAUAAAUACCCCAUAACCCCUCUUCUUCCUCCUCGGGCUGAACUGUAGCUCACAGCCACCUUCCAUUGGAACCCAUCUUGGCAGUCUAGAGUUUCCAAAAUACAAGGGGGGAGGUUUUGAUCUUCAUUUCUUGGAAGGAGGUGGCUAAGGUUAUUUGAUGCCUCUAAUGCCUCUUUUUUUUUGCCCUCUUGCUCAAUUUGAGCUACUUUUUGGAUCUAGGGUUUUACCAUGAGAAGGAGAGAGUAGAGUAGCUAGGUAUGGCCUAUAUUUGCUCAAAUGAGGUUGCUUAAGAUGGUUAGAUGAUGUCUCUCCUCUCCCCUUUUCCAUGCAUGUUUCCUUCUCUAGUUAGUGAAUCCAAGAAAGAUAUGUGUAGUGGUUUCCAUGAAUAGUGUUUCCAUGCGUGGGAAGAGAGAAAGAUAGGUUUUCUUGUUAGUUAAUUAUAUUGCUUAGGAUGUUCUCCUUUAUGUCAAUUUGAUUUAAUUAUGCAAUAUGCAUUUUCAUGUAUGAGGUUGCUUAAGAAGGUGAGAUGAUGCCUCUCCUCUCUCCUUUUUAUGUUUCACCUAUGAUUUUAUAUUCCAUUUCUCAAUUUUAUUUAAUUAUGCACUAUAUUUUUUUCAAGGAUGAGGUUGCUUUAAUUUAGAUGGUUAGAUGAUGUCUCCCCUUUUCUUUUUUCAUGUUUCCUUCUCAAAUUUAUUUUAUUGAAAUGAAGAUAUAUAUUUAGUUGAUUCCAUCAAUGUUGUUUUUUCUAGCUUGUCAAUUUGAUGUAGUUGUUAGUUCUUUUUGAAUUAUGUUACUUAGGGUUUUGUCUUCAUUUUUCUUAUUAGCUCCGAGGUCUAUAAAUUGGAUACAUAUAGAAGCGGGAGGUUUUCAUCUUUACUUCUUUGAAAGAGGUUGUUGUUUCAAAGGUUAAAUAAUAAAUAUUUCUAGACAAUAUAUCAUACUUGUUUUGCAUUG